AACUCAAGGUAUAGGAGGUCCAGCCUGCCCAGUGACCACAAGUUCAACGGCCGCGGUAUUUUGACCGUGCAAAGGUAGCGCAAUCACUUGUCUUUUAAAUGAAGACCUGUAUGAAUGGCCAAACGAGGGCUUAGCUGUCUCCCCUUUCAAGUCAGUGAAAUUGAUCUGCCCGUGCAGAAGCGGGCAUACAUCUACAAGACGAGAAGACCCUUUGGAGCUUAAGGUUCAAGCCCAACCGCGUUAAGCAACUUACAAAAUAAGCAUUAAACCUAGCGGAAAAUGGCGCUUUACCUUCGGUUGGGGCGACCACGGAGAAAAAAAUAUCCUCCGAGUGGACUGGGCCGACUAAGCCUAAAACCAAGAAAGACAUUUCUAAGUAGCAGAAAAUCUGACCAAUAAUGAUCCGGCCCAAGGGCCGAUCAACGGACCAAGUUACCCUAGGGAUAACAGCGCAAUCCUCUCCCAGAGUCCAAUCGACGAGGGGGUUUACGACCUCGAUGUGGAUCAGGACAUCCUAAUGGUGCAGCCGCUAUUAAGGGUUCGUUUGUUCAAC
rnacentral:rRNA from 1 species